rnacentral:tRNA from 1 species
AUUAAAUUAAGUUAUACAGACUGUGUGUUUUCAAAACACUUAGAGGUUUAUGCCAUUUAAUG